GUUCCAGACUCCUACGGGAGGCAGCAGUGGGGGAUAUUGCACAAUGGGGGGAACCCUGAUGCAGCGACGCCGCGUGGGUGAAGGAGUAUUUCGGUAUGUAAAGCCCUAUCGGCAGGGAAGAAGCAAGACGGUACCUGACUAAGAAGCCCCGGCUAACUACGUGCCAGCCGCCGCGGUAAUACGUAGGGGGCAAGCGUUAUCCGGAUUUACUGGGUGUAAAGGGGGCGCAGACGGCAGCGCAAGCCAGGAGUGAAAGCCCGGGGCCCAACCCCGGGACUGCUCUUGGAACUGCGCGGCUGGAGUGCAGGAGGGGCAGGCGGAAUUCCUGGUGUAGCGGUGAAAUGCGUAGAUAUCAGGAGGAACACCGGCGGCGAAGGCGGCCUGCUGGACCGUGACUGACGUUGAGGCUCGAGAGCGUGGGGAGCAAACAGGAUUAGAUACCCCAGUC
rnacentral:rRNA from 1 species